rnacentral:rRNA from 1 species
AAUGUUCAGAUAGCCAUGCACGUCUAAGUACAAACUAAAUGAUGGUGAAACUGCAAAUGGCUCAUUACAACGGUUAUGAUGUACCCGGGAGUUCCGAUGGAUAUUUCCAGUAACGCUAGAACUAAUACAUGUCCCUGCGUUUAUUAGUUUCGCACAGUCCGUCGCUGAGCCAUGGUAAACAGUUGAUCGACUCGACGUCCCGGAACAGUUUCCGCCCCAUCAGCUUCGAUGGUUGGGUAUUGGCCUACCAUUGCAACAACGGGUAACGAGGAAUUAGGGUUUGAUUUCGGAGAGGGAGCCUGAGAAACGGCUACCACAUCUACGGAUGGCAGCAGGCGCGCAAAUUACCCAAUGCAGACACUGUGGGGUAGUGACGAGAAAUAAUAAAGCGGGACUUCUGUUUCGCUAUUAUAAUGAGGAAUAACCAAAGGUCAUUCCGAUUAGCAACUGAUGGGAAAGUCUGGUGCCAGCAGCCGCGGUAAUACCAGCGUCAGUAGCAU